CGUGAAAUUCCGGGAGGAGGGAUGGACAUUGAAACAGUAUUUGAAUAAAUAUUGGCUUAGAAUUUUCCAGAACUAAAAAAAAAAAAAGAAUAUUCCAGAACUGCAGAUAGAAACGCUCAGUGAGAAAUCAACAUGAUCCCCAAUAGGAAAAAUAAAACCAAACUCGCAGAACACCAGAGAAUAAUAAUAAUAGUAAUAAUAAUAAAAAAUAGGCAAAGGGACAGGACAGGUUUCCUGAAAAGAAGUGACAACCGGGCAGUGCUGGGGCAGCUGCCACCGCCCACAUGGGAGCCCCGGGCUCGGGGGUGGCGUCUGGGGGGAAGGCGCAGGUCGGGAGAUGCUGCAGGCCUCGAACCCGGGCCCGCGCCCCCAGACCCCCCGCGGUCCGCCGCCAGCCCGGGGCGGGCCGCCCAGCCCCAGCGGACCCGCACGUCCCCACCCGCCCUGAGCAGCGUCCUCUUGGCCAGCCCGACCUGGCUUGGAUGUGGGUCGUCUCAGAGAAGGCGGAGCUGAGUCGUCCUGGCCUGGGCAUCUCGCUCAGGCUUGUGGGGCCUCACAUCCCUGGAAGUCUGAGUCCUGGGGGCCCGAGGAGCAUGACAGGGGCCAGAGACACUGCAGAGGAGGCCCCUGUGUCCCUGGCAGCCCUGGGCUCCCCGGUCACCGUGGCCCUGAUUUUGGAUGAGGACACUGGGCGCAGAAGGGGCAAGCAGCUGCUCAGGCUGCGCCCUGGGGGGCCUCUAGGUACCCACCCCCAGCCCCACCACCUCCCAGGAGAGGCCGCGCCCCUGCUCUCUGCGCCCCAUGCCGAGCCUGCCCACGGGCCUGUGGUGGGGGCUCCCGGGAGUCCCGAGGACGGGGUCAGGAGCUUCUCUCCUGAGGACCAAGAGUGGAUUCCGCGGGCCCCACCCCUGCUUCCCCAGCCUCAACCCUCGGAACCCUAAGGAGAGCUCACCUGGCUCGUGCGGCGGACGGAGUGCUAGAGGUCACCGCAGGUGAAUCCCUGACGUAGCUCCUGAGCCCUUCCGCAGUUUAGGGGCCGUGCCCAGACUCCGAGGAGGCCACCUCCAGAUACCCCCAGGCGUCUCCCUCCCCACCUGGAAGGGGUGCCUCAGGCUGACGGGGGGAGGCAUGGGGGGGGACAGUGCUCCGGGGAAGGGUCUGGGGUCCUAGACAUCCCUUUGCUCCCUGGCCUCGGUGGGCAAAGCAUCUUGGUCCCCGGAGCUCCAGAGAGACGCGCAUGGGGUGACCCAGGAGGGCCGCGCUCAGACACGCAGGCUGGGGUUAGGAGGGCGGCCGGGGUGGGGGCUGGUGCCACUGGUGCCGCGGGUCUCGCCGUGGGCCCCUCCCUGGGGCCCGAGCUCAGCGCCUCCGGAGGACCCACCGUGGGAGAAACACCCCGGGGUGCAGGGCGGGGGGAGGGGAGCCAGGCCCGCCUCCCAGGAGGACCCCGGGGCCCCAGGAAGCCCGCGAGGAAGGCCCUGAGGGGCGCCUCUCACGCCAGCACCGGUUGGGGUGCAGGAGGUCGAGGGGCCCCGGUGGGCAGGCGGGUCCUGGGGGUGGGGGCGCCCGGGCCUCGAGGCCGCCGGAGCUCCUGAGAACUCUUCCGGAGGAUGUGCUGCCCGGGUUCCACAGCCCUCGUGCUGAAUUUCGGUGGCGUUAAGGCUCGUGGUGACGCCGCCCGGCGGCCCGGCCACACCUGCGCCUGUGGCUCCCGGCGUGGACGGCACCCGCGCCGCCCUCUGAUUCCUGCCCGGACGCUGAGCCGCCUCCCGGGUGGGGGCCUGGGCGGCCCUGGCUGCUGCUGGGCUCAGGGCAGCACCCAAGGCCGAAUGUCACUGAAGAAGCCCGCUCAAGCGUGACCUAGGAACCGACUCAAAUGUGUCUCGACGGCAAAUCCGGUCGAGCUGGCACAGCCGCCCCGCGGGGAGGGGCGCCGGGGUU
rnacentral:lncRNA from 12 species